rnacentral:rRNA from 1 species
UGGGGAAUUUUGGACAAUGGGCGCAAGCCUGAUCCAGCAAUGCCGCGUGCAGGAUGAAGGCCUUCGGGUUGUAAACUGCUUUUGUACGGAACGAAAAGCCCUGGGUUAAUACCCUGGGGUCAUGACGGUACCGUAAGAAUAAGCACCGGCUAACUACGUG